rnacentral:rRNA from 1 species
AUUGAACGCUGGCGGCAGGCCUAACACAUGCAAGUCGAGCGAGUGGCGGACGGGUGAGUAAUGUCUGGGCAUCUGCCUGAUGGAGGGGGAUAACUACUGGAAACGGUAGCUAAUACCGCAUACCAUCGGAUGUACCCAUAUGGGGUUAGCUAGUAGGUGGGGUAAAGGCUCACCUAGGCGACGAUCCCUAGCUGGUCUGAGAGGAUGACCAGCGACCCUGGAACUGAGACACGGACCAUACUCCGACGGGAGGCAGCAGUGGGGAAUAUUGCACAAUGGGCGCAAGACGUAUGCAGCCAUGCCGCGUGUAUGAAGAAGGCCCUCGGGUUGUAAAGUACUUUCAGCGGUGAGGCGUUACCCGCAGAAGAAGCACCGGCUAACUCCGUGCCAGCAGCCGCGGUAAUAC